UUGCUGGCGUGGAAACAUUAUUAUUGUAUUAUAGUGGUUUUCUAGGGUUAAGUGGGUGGUUGGUUGAAUAAUAUGAUCUAGCAGAUAAAAAUAGUAAAGAAAAAUAGAUUUAACGACGAAAAAUUUGGUUGCACUAAAUACUUGGUGUUAUCGCCGAACUCUACAUAUUGUAUCAUAAUGUAUUUUGUAAUACUAAUUAUUAUAUAUUCUAUCAAUCAUUUAGUAUACUUUAUGGUGUAUGAAAUAUUAGUAUAUGUCAGGUGUAUGAAAAAAUUU
rnacentral:lncRNA from 1 species